AAGGCUAUGAUGUGUCAUGUUGUGAAAGAAAAUUUUACAUCCUUUAUGUAAUUCUCACCAAAAAUUUUAUUUUUUACAUUUUUCUUAAAGUUUAUGGUUUUAUUCACUUAGACUCCAAACAUGUGUUGUAUAAGUAAAUGUAAAAUAAGUUUGCAAUAUAGUGUUAUGUGUUGAUUAUUAAUCCAAAUAAAAUGCUGAUCAAAUUAGAAAGUUAUAUCUGCUGUUACCCGACACAAGGAUGCAGUGUUAUGUGUUGAUUAUUAAUCCAAAUAAAAUGCUGAUCAAAUUAGAAAGUUAUAUCUGCUGUUACCCAACACAAAGAUGCAGUGUUAUGUGUUGAUUAUUAAUCCAAAUGGAAUGCUGAUCAAAUUAGAAAAUAUUAUCUGCUGUUACCCAACACAAAGAUGCAGUGUUAUGUGUUGAUUAUUAAUCCAAAUGGAAUGCUGAUCAAAUUAGAAAGUUAUAUCUGCUGUUACCCAACACAAAGAUGCAGUGUUAUGUGUUGAUUAUUAAUCCAAAUAAAAUGCUGAUCAAAUUAGAAAGUUAAUUCCCUGCUACAAAACCCAAGAAAGUUUUGUAAACGUAGUACAUAGAAAUUUAAAACUUUACAGCUUAACCAAUUCUUUGUUAUUGUAGUACUGUUAAUUUUAACAUUAAAAAUAUCAGUAAGGGUUUUAAUUUUCAGAAUUGUUGAAUUCAUGCAUGGCUUGAAUGGUCCAAGGUUUGAGAUGUCAUGCCUCUGAACAUACAUUUCAGAAUUGUUGAAUUCAUGCAUGGCUUGAAUGAUCCAAGGUUUGAGAUGUCAUGCCUCUGAACAUACAUUUCAAAAUUGUUGAAUGGUCCAAGGUUUGAGAUGUCGUGCCUUGAAUGGUCCAAGGUUUGAGAUGUCGUGCCUUGAAUGGUCCAAGGUUUGAGAUGUCGUGGCUUGAAUGGUCCAAGGUUUGAGAUGUCGUGGCUUGAAUGGUCCAAGGUUUGAGAUGUCAUGCCUUGAAUGGUCCAAGGUUUGAGAUGUCAUGCCUCUGAACAUACAUACUUCAUGCUUUAGAACUGACAGUCAGUGAUUUGGUUUAAAGAGUCAGACAAAAACCCCCAGUGGUUCAGUAGAAAUUCAAUAGGCUUAUAAUGCCACAAUUCAAGGUUUGAUACCCACGGUAGGGAGAGCAUAGAUAACUUUGUGCUUUACAACAAGCAAAUAAAGCCCGACACUUUAUGCUGGUAGGUGCUUCUGGCUGCCUUAUUUGACUAGUAUUUCAAAAUGACCUGUAAAAAAAAAGGGAUCUGAUAUACACAAUUGAUAGAAAUUUGAAAAACAGUUAAUCUAGUUAGGGUUUGGGAGUCGUAGAAAGUUAAUAGUUUGACAGUUUGUUUAUAGCUAUUACUUUCAGGAAACUUUCACUGUGACAAAAUUCAAAUCGUUUGAAUUUCUCUUGUACUAUGAUAGUUUUUCUCUCGCUGAUAUGCGUGAUCUCAAAAUAAACUUUUAAUAAUAUGUCAAAAGUAUGCUCAUAUAACUUCUGGAUUGUAAUUACAGAAAUCUGUUUUACACAUUUCUUUGUAAAUCAUGUUAAGUGUAUUAAUCCAUGCUUUUCGAGCUCUUUAAAGUAUCCUUAGUAAAAAAAUUCACACAGUAUUUAGACAUAAAGAUUUUGUGUAAUUUUGUACUAAAUAUAUUGUUGGAUUUUCUCAAGUUAUUGUAUAGCUUUGACAGGUUGAAAUAAACAAAAGCUUCAAUGAUUUGUACUGAAAGAAUUUUUUGGGGUAAUUCUGUUAAUGUUAUGUUCUCAGUGCGACUUUUUAUAUUUCUCAGUUUCACUGCGAGUUUUAUAACUUCCAAAGAGGUGUUGUUAAAAAAACUCUAACAGACAUUCUGUUGGAGUAAAAACUAACCAAAGUGAUUUAAGUUAUCUUCUUGAGAUUUUCUUAGAAUGGUAUUCACAUGUUUCCAUCAAUCUCAUGUUGGUUGUUGUGGUUCAUUACUUUAAGUCGAUUGUCCAAAAUAUGUUACAGUUUCAGCUAAAGUAUUUUUAAUUUGUAUGAAACUGAAUGAACUGUGUGUGUGCUAUGGUUAAAUUAUUCUAAAUAAAUACUUUAUCUGCUUUACUUUUAAAUUAUGUUGUUUGUGGUGUCUUUUGAUUCACAUGAUCAUUAAUUUAAAUAAUUUUAUUACCUACUGGUUUUAAAACUUAAGUAUGAAUAGAGGUUGUGGAAUAAACUAUUUUAAAGUCAA